UAGAGUUUGAUCAUGGCUCAGAUUGAACGCUGGCGGCAGGCCUAACACAUGCAAGUCGAGCGGAAACGAGAAUAGCUUGCUAUUCGGUGUCGAGCGGCGGACGGGUGAGUAAUGCCUGGGAAAUUGCCCUGAUGUGGGGGAUAACCAUUGGAAACGAUGGCUAAUACCGCAUAAUAGCUUCGGCUUAAAGAGGGGGACCUUCGGGCCUCUCGCUUCAGGAUAUGCCCAGGUGGGAUUAGCUAGUUGGUGAGGUAAAGGCUCACCAAGGCGACGAUCCCUAGCUGGUCUGAGAGGAUGAUCAGCCACACUGGAACUGAGACACGGUCCAGACUCCUACGGGAGGCAGCAGUGGGGAAUAUUGCACAAUGGGCGCAAGCCUGAUGCAGCCAUGCCGCGUGUAUGAAGAAGGCCUUCGGGUUGUAAAGUACUUUCAGCAGUGAGGAAGGGUGUGUAGUUAAUAGCUGCAUACUUUGACGUUAGCUGCAGAAGAAGCACCGGCUAACUCCGUGCCAGCAGCCGCGGUAAUACGGAGGGUGCGAGCGUUAAUCGGAAUUACUGGGCGUAAAGCGCAUGCAGGUGGUUUGUUAAGUCAGAUGUGAAAGCCCGGGGCUCAACCUCGGAACCGCAUUUGAAACUGGCAGGCUAGAGUACUGUAGAGGGGGGUAGAAUUUCA
rnacentral:rRNA from 1 species